rnacentral:rRNA from 1 species
AUUGAACGCUGGCGGCAGGCCUAACACAUGCAAGUCGAGCGGCAGCGGGAAAGUAGCUUGCUACUUUUGCCGGCGAGCGGCGGACGGGUGAGUAAUGCCUGGGGAUCUGCCCAGUCGAGGGGGAUAACUACUGGAAACGGUAGCUAAUACCGCAUACGCCCUACGGGGGAAAGCAGGGGACCUUCGGGCCUUGCGCGAUUGGAUGAACCCAGGUGGGAUUAGCUAGUUGGUGAGGUAAUGGCUCACCAAGGCGACGAUCCCUAGCUGGGCUGAGAGGAUGAUCGGCCACACUGGAACUGAGACACGGUCCAGACUCCUACGGGAGGCAGCAGUGGGGAAUAUUGCACAAUGGGGGAAACCCUGAUGCAGCCAUGCCGCGUGUGUGAAGAAGGCCUUCGGGUUGUAAAGCACUUUCAGCGAGGAGGAAAAGUUGGUAGCUAAUAACUGCCAGCUGUGACGUUACUCGCAGAAGAAGCACCGGCUAACUCCGUGCCAGCCGCCGCCGUAA